rnacentral:rRNA from 1 species
UACACACCGCCCGUCACACCAUGGGAGUAGAUUUUGCCAGAAGUAGUUAGUCUAACCGCAAGGAGGGCGAUUACCACGGUGAGAUUUAUGACUGGGUG